CUGACCGUAAACGAUGCCAACUAGCGAUCCGCCGGCGGAUUCAUUCGCCCUGGUGGGGAGCUUCCCGGAAACGAAAGUCUUCCGGUUCCGGGGGAAGUAUGGUUGCAAAGCUGAAACUUAAAGGAAUUGACGGAAGGGCACCACCAGGAGUGGAGCCUGCGGCUUAAUUUGACUCAACACGGGGAAACUCACCCGGCCCGGACACCGUAAGGAUUGACAGAUUGAUAGCUUUUUCAUGAUUCGGUGGAUGGUGGUGCAUGGCCGUUCUUAGUUCGUGGAGCGAUUUGUCUGGUUUAUUCCGAUAACGAGCGAGACUCUGGCCUACUAAAUAGUUGGCGCAUUGCCACUGUGCGCUCUAACUUCUUAGAGGGAUUUUCGGUGUUCAGCCGCACGAAAUUGAGCAAUAACAGGUCUGUGAUGCCCUUAGAUGUCCGGGGCUGCACGCGCGCUACACUGGCAAAAUCAGCGUGCUUGUCCUUCCCCGAAAGGGGUUGGUAAACCCGUGAAAAUUUGCCGUGAUUGGGAUCGGACAUUGCAAUUAUUGUCCGUGAACGAGGAAUUCCUUGUAGGGGCGAGUCAUCAACUCGCUCUGAUUACGUCCCUGCCUUUUGUAAA
rnacentral:rRNA from 1 species